UGAGGCAGGAGAAUCGCUUGAACCCGAGAGGUGGAAGUUGCAGUGAGCUGAGAUUGCACCACUGCACUACAGCCUGGGCGACUGAGACUCCAUCUCAAAAUAAACAAA
rnacentral:miRNA from 1 species